UACAGAGGGUGCGAGCGUUAAUCGGAAUUACUGGGCGUAAAGCGUGCGUAGACGGUUAUAUAAGUCGGGUGUGAAAGCCCCGGGCUCAACCUGGGAAUUGCAUUCGAGACUGCAUAGCUAGGGUGCGGAAGAGGGAAGCGGAAUUUCCGGUGUAGCGGUGAAAUGUGUAGAUAUCGGAAGGAACAUCAGUGGCGAAAGCGGCUUCCUGGUCCAGCACCGACGUUCAGGCACGAAAGCGUGGGGAGCAAACAGG
rnacentral:rRNA from 1 species